CCUACGCUGGAGCCGGGCAAAGGGUGGAGUGAGAGAGAGGCUGUGGUGGAUGGACCGCAACCCACGUUUCCUAUCCCUCUGCACUUUUCAGAGUGGAGAAAGUAGAGGAAUCGGUCUUGAAGGGGUUAAACUGAGCCUGAGGUGAAGAAGAGAGACUGCUAGCAUCCUAAAAAGCUGUUGACCCUCGCGGGACACUCAAUAUCUGACUGUGACAACAAGGAUGUCAUCAGCACACAUAGGUAUAUCAAAUGGAUGCAAAGUCUGUGAUCUUAAAAGAACUGCAAGCAAGAUCAGUGCAGAAAGUAAACUUCUUACACAGACCAUAAGUGAGAAGCAGAAGAGGUCAAAGCUGUCAGAGGAAAUGAAAGGCCAUGUGCUCUGCCCUUCCCCUCUUCAAGGAAGGUUACGUAAGUCUGCCAUGUGAGAUACACAACCG
ensembl:lncRNA